UCCCUACGGGAGGCAGCAGUGAGGAAUAUUGGUCAAUGGACGGAAGUCUGAACCAGCUAUGCCGCGUGCAGGAAGACGGCUCUAUGAGUUGUAAACUGCUUUUGUACAAGGGUACCCCUGAAUACGUGUAUUCAGCUGAAAGUACUGUACGAAUAAGGAUCGGCUAACUCCGUGCCAGCAGCCGCGGUAAUACGGAGGAUCCAAGCGUUAUCCGGCUUUAUUGGGUUUAAAGGGUGCGUAGUCUGCUUGAUACGUUAGCGGUGAAAUGUCCGAGCUCACCUCUGGAACUGCCUCUCAUCCUGUUG
rnacentral:rRNA from 1 species